CCUACGGGAGGCAGCAGUGAGGAAUAUUGGUCAAUGGGCGGGAGCCUGAACCAGCCAAGUCGCGUGAGGGAAGACGGUCCUAUGGAUUGUAAACCUCUUUAGGCGGGGAGCAAUGCCGGGCACGCGUGCCCGGAGGGAGAGUACCCGCAGAAUAAGCAUCGGCUAACUCCGUGCCAGCAGCCGCGGUAAUACGGAGGAUGCGAGCGUUAUCCGGAUUUAUGGGGUUUAAAGGGUGCGUAGGCGGAUUUUUAAGUCAGCGGUAAAAUGUGCGGGCUCAACCCGGGCCGGCCGUUGAAACUGGGGAUCUUGAGUGGGCGAGGGGUAUGCGGAAUGCGUGGUGUAGCGGUGAAAUGCAUAGAUAUCACGCAGAACUCCGAUUGCGAAGGCAGCAUACCGGCGCCCGACUGACGCUGAGGCACGAAAGCGUGGGGAUCGAACAGGAUUAGAUACCCCGGUAGUC
rnacentral:rRNA from 1 species